CCUCGAGUUCUCCUCCUCCCACUUUUCUUCUCUUCUAAACCAAAACUUAAAUCUGAGCUUUCAAUAAUUAAACCCCCGUUUUCAGAAAUCAACAGAUUCAAAACCCAUUUCUCUUGAACCCAAUCAAAUCUUACAAAUCAAAACUCUUUUCUCCCACAAAUCAGCAUCUCUGUCAAACCCUUGCUGCGGCUAAAUCAUGUCAUGUUCGUAGAUAAUGGUAGAGAUCGAGAAGAAGAUGGAGCAGGUGAGAAAGCUAGUUUUGGGAUUUUUCUGUAGGUUACAGUGUAAGAGAGAAAUCGAAGAUGGGAUUAGAACUCGAAUUUUAGAGAAUGAGAAGAUGAAAUGUUACUGCCGUCAACGAACAAUGGUGAUUGAUGGAUUCCACUGGUUUGAUUCGAUUUGAAAAAGGCAGGAAGAUGGUGGUUUCGGUGAUGUUCUACCAAGAAGUUAUGUCUAAAAAUGAAGUUGUUACUGGGGAAAUUGCAAUUAGGGUUUGAAAUUGAACUCAAGAUUGAUGAUGUGUGGAUUUGGUUGAAUUAAGUUUGGUGUUGCUGAGAAAUUCGAGAAUAAGGAUAGAUGGAAUUGUGUUUGGGUUUGGGUUUGAACUGAGUGGAAUCAGGAAUCACUAAUCUUUCAAUCACUCAAACCCUAGAAAUCGAUUUCUUAUCUAAAGUCAAAUCAUUAUGUAUGGUGUGUUUGGUUGCAACUCUUUCUAUAGCACAUGAAUGGAUCCUGCAGAUUUUUGGGUUUAGUUGGUGGUGGUGCCUCAUUUUCUCAGUGUUUGUGAUAUAAGCUCUGGAUCUGCUAUGAGAAUGGGUAGUGGUGGAGGUGAUUCAAGUAAAAGUUGGAUAUUUUGGGAAAGUGAAGUUUGAUGUCUUUCAUUCAUUUGGGUAAAGGUGGUCUUAGGAACAAGCUCUUGGUCACUGGCAUCAAACAGAUGAGGAGUCAUAUAUGGACAACGAAGAGUCGGAUGUAAGUGGUUCAGAUGGGGAUGACGCUUCGUAUAUCUCACGGUUUUGUAACCUUCGAGGAAAUGAGUUUUUUUGUGAGGUCAUGAUGAGACAUUCAAGAUGAUUUCAGCCUUUGUGGAUUAAGUAGUCAAGUUCCAUAUUGCGAUUAUGCGCUUGAUUUACUUUUGGAUGUCGAAUCUUCUCAUGAACGAUGCUGCUUGUUGUGAUAUAGCAAAGGCUGAAAAAGGAAAGGGCCGGCAUCAACAGCUGCUACUGUACGGUUACCUGUUAUAAACCCACAUGUUAUUAGAUGAAAGCCUGGCAGUCCAAGAACUUAGAGGAGAGAAGAUGAAACACUACCCAGGAGACUGAAGAAGUGUGGCACCUGCUGUAUUCACGGAGAUGACAAAACUACUUGUCAUGGUGGGAAACAACCAAGGCAAGAAGAGAUUUUCAAGUUGCAAGCGCAGUUGGUGGGACUUUUGCAUCCACUAGAGCAAGGGAAGGCAUUGGAGCAUACUCUACAGCAAGAACUGAAGGUGAUCUCUGCAGAAGUUCAACUGGAUCAGCUGUUACUUCUACUAUCACAGUUGUGUCGAGAGGAGCUCGUGGCAAAGCUACACUAACUAUUAGUGAUGGAGUUGUGAGAUGCACCGCUAUAUAAUAUGUUUAAACAUGAGCGCAACGAGGUAAUUUGUAAUGAAGUGGUGGAUUGUUAUUUGUUGUUCACUUGAUGGUAUUUUUUUCCUUCCAGUUAACUUAUCUCAUAUAUACAGAAAGUUGAUUAACAACAAGGCUUUGGAAGUUUUAAGCAACAAGAUCUCAGUAAAAUGACAGAUAACCAUAGGAACAGAA